AUUGAACGCUGGCGGCAGGCCUAACACAUGCAAGUCGAACGGUAACAGGAAGAUGCUUGCUUCUUUGCUGACGAGUGGCGGACGGGUGAGUAAUGUCUGGGAAACUGCUUGAUGGAGGGGGAUAUCUACUGGAAACGGUAGCUAAUACCGCAUAACGUCGCCAGACAAAAGAGGGGGCGCUUCGUGCCUCUUGUCAUCGGAUAUGCCCUGAUGGGAUUAGCUAGUAGGUGCGGUAACGGGUCACCUAGGCGACGAUCCCUAGCUGGUCUGAAAGGAUGACAAGCCACACGGGAACUGAGGCACGGUCCAGACUCCUACGGGAGGCAGCAGUGGGGAAUAUUGCGCAAUGGGCGCAAGCCUGAUGCAGCCAUGCCGCGUGUAUGAAGACGACCUUCGGGUUGUAAAGUACUUUCAGCGGGGAGGAAGUGAGUAAAGUUAAUACCUUUGCUCAUUGACGUUACCCGCAGAAGAAGCACCGGCUAACUCCGUG
rnacentral:rRNA from 1 species